rnacentral:rRNA from 1 species
UACGUAGGGUGCGAGCGUUGUCCGGAAUUAUUGGGCGUAAAGAGCUCGUAGGCGGUCUGUCGCGUCUGCUGUGAAAACUCGGGGCUUAACCCCGGGCCUGCAGUGGGUACGGGCAGACUAGAGUGCGGUAGGGGAGAGUGGAAUUCCUGGUGUAGCGGUGAAAUGCGCAGAUAUCAGGAGGAACACCGGUGGCGAAGGCGGGUCUCUGGGCCGUAACUGACGCUGAGGAGCGAAAGCGUGGGGAGCGAACAGG